GGUAGGAACUGUUGGGAUCACCUUAGAUGCGAAAGAAGCCGAGAUAGACUUAUCUGCUACUUCGAGGUACUUGAGGUGUCUUAUAACACACCCAAUCGAUAAGAGGGUUAAGUUAGAAACCGGGUUUAAAGAAACAUAGAAGAGGAUAGUAUAUAAUUAAAAACCUGUAUUUAGGAAGUUUGAAAUUACUUUGGAGCUUCCUGGCCGCUAAGGCAAAAAGGGAAACAUGAUGGGUUAUAUAACUCUCAUCGGCUCCUAAAAGGAAGUGAAUCUGCAAGUCAGAAAACACAAUGUUUCUCCUAAGUUACUAAAAGAAAUCAACCCAGUGGGACAUUACAGAUCCAAUGGAAAGAUUUUCUACUGUCAUUUUACUGAGCAUGAAAAACGUGGUUUCGAAGGCCAUUAUCAUCUGAAUUGUUGAGAAAGGUAAAGUGUUCCUAUCAAGUGACCCUCUCAGCGCUGGAAAGGUUCCCAGAGAUUUUCAAGUUCAGAGGCCCCUCUGGGCCUCCCCCAGAGCAGCACGCGACCUCCCUCCCCUACCCAUGCAACCCAGGGCUAAUUAGUCCUUCGGUCCCCUUCUCGCCCGGCCUCUACCCUGCUCUGUCUGGGAGGGGCUCCCCCGGCAAGCUGUGUCUUCCGGGCUUUCUGCUGGGUUAGGCGUGGGGCUGCUUUGUAGGGAGAGGGGCCGAUGUAAGGAAGGGCUUCUCCCCCUUCCGUUCGGCAGCAGGCAGGGGCCCUGGUGGCAUCUUUUUCCUCCAUGGCUCCAGCUCUUCUGGACGGACCCUUGUGGAUGCAGCUUUGCCCGGAUGCCCCGCCUCACCCCCUCCCCCUGUCCCUCCGGUCAACAGGGCUGGUGGCUUCCUACCCUGCUUAGCGCUAGGUGGACUGAAUGGCCCCCGUCUGGCUUCACAGCCCUUGCGCCUCCCGCAAAACCGAUUCCCGCAUUCAAGGCUGUCUUGUUUUCCAUGCUUCAGUGGUUUCUGUUUCCGGGGUAGACGCUGCAGGACCACUCAGCAAGUGGUGGUCCGGCCCCAAGCCAGACAUUCCAGGAAUGUCACUGCUUACUUCACAACUAAGGCAGCCUACUUCAUCUUGAAGGCAGGGCCACCCGAAGGGAACCCUUGAGCAGGCCUUUGGCAUGUGGCUAGGGCCUGGGUCAGAGAAGGGAAUAAGAAGUUCUGGGCAGGGGAAGAGCUGGUCAAAGAUGCGGUCGUUCACCUUCAGGCCUUUCUUCUAUAUGAAAGCAAGAUGCAGAAGGCCCGGCCUGGCUUCUGGGAGGAACGUCAGGCCCACGAGCCUGCGAGCUUGAUGAACCUGACUCUCUGGGACGGAAGAAAAAGCACAAAGUUCCUUUGAAA